GUCAGUGUCAACCCCGGGCUAAGGUCAGUGUCAACCCCGGGCUAAGGUCAGUGUCAACCCCGGGCUAAGGUCAGUGUCAACCCCGGGCUAAGGUCAGUGUUAACCCCGGGCUAAGGUCAGUGUUAACCCCGGGCUAAGGUCAGUGUUAACCCCGGGCUAAGGUCAGUGUUAACCCCGGGCUAAGGUCAGUGUUAACCCCGGGCUAAGGUCAGUGUUAACCCCGGGCUAAGGUCAGUGUUAACCCUGGGCUAAGGUCAGUGUCAACCCUGGGCUAAGGUCAGUGUCAACCCCGGGCUAAGGUCAGU